rnacentral:lncRNA from 1 species
CCUAUAAUCGUUUCCAUCCCUCCAUCUUAAAACAGAGAAGAAGAGGAGGAGGAUUCUGGCUCGGCGAGAGAGAGAGACAGAAGACAGAGAAAAAAGGGGCCUCCAUCAUAAAGAAUGUAAUACUGCCACUGUUGAACAUCAGCAGGGAGCUGCAGGCAGAAGCCCUUCAGAGAAACUGUCCAGCUGCACCUGUAGGCAGAAGCUGAUGGGAUUAAACUUUACACAUGGAAGCAAAGUGUCACAAACUUACUCCGGGCUUUCCUGUGACUUUCAGGAAAGCUGCCAUAAGAUCCUGCAAGGAGACGCAAUGGCAAAGUGAGCUGUGAAUGGGCGGAGAACAGCCAGGACUCCGGCGCUGACCUGAGGGGAAAAGCACGGCCCUGCCAAGAACACAAAGACUUUGAGAUGACAGCGACUGUGCUGAGCAAUCCCACAUUAAACACAUAAGCCUGUUUGCUUGGAGGAAAAAUGGAUUGCCUCUGUGAGAUCAAAACUCCAGUCUCCUGAUGCAUGAGGUGAUUUGCAUUUGUAAACUGAGUGUUUGGGGCCUUGUUAGCUCUUAGACAGAUGUGUAAAGGUUGUACGCACAUUUGUAAGGCAUAGUUCAUCCAAAAAUGAAGAUGUGCUAAUAAUUUACUCACUCU